GACGAACGCUGGCGGCGUGCUUAACACAUGCAAGUCGAACGGAAAGGCCCUGCUCUUGUGGGGUGCUCGAGUGGCGAACGGGUGAGUAACACGUGAGUAACCUGCCCUUGUCUUUGGGAUAACUUCAGGAAACUGGGGCUAAUACCGGAUAGGAGCUCCUGCUGCGUGGUGGGGGUUGGAGAGUUUCGGCGGUUGGGGAUAGACUCGAUGCUUAUCAGCUUGUUGGUGGGGUAGUGGCUUACCAAGGCUUUGACGGGUAGCCGGCAUGAGAGGGUGACCGGCGACAUUGGGACUGAGAUACGGACCAGACUCCUACGGGAGGCAGCAGUGGGGAAUAUUGCAGAAUGGGCGGAAGCCUGAUGCAGCAACGUCGCGUGCGUGAUGACGGCCUACGGGUUGUAAACCACUUUCGCAUGUGACGAAGCGUGAGUGACGGUAAUGGGUAAAGAAGCACCGGCUAACUACGUG
rnacentral:rRNA from 1 species